UAUUAUGUAUAUAAAUUGAAUGCUGAUGGAU
rnacentral:piRNA from 1 species